ensembl:lncRNA
CGGAGAAUAAAACAGGGACAGGCCAAGAGCAAAGGAAAAGUCAACUAACGGCGGAUUAAGAAGAAAUAACACAUCCGGCACCCUGGGAGGGAGACACAUGAGCGGAGAUGGAGGGAGAGAAGGAGGAACAGGGAGAGAUCACCCAGAGUGGGACGACUUCUACCCGGAGUCACACGGUGACGCAGAGCAACCAGCCCCAAGACCUCCAAGAACCAGGGGAGGAUGACCGGCCCGAGAUUGAAGCCUGUGACGGAGAGGUAGAGCCGAGCCAGGUCAGAUUUGUCUGGGAAAACGACGACUAUACCUGCGUCCAGAAAAUCUGCUGUACAUUUAAACCAUCAUGACCGGAGCUCAGUUGACUACUGUAACAGGGCAAAGUAAAACUACGUUGAUUCAAGCUUUCUGUGCCUUUGGCUGGUGCGAUCGAUGAAGGUGGAGGAGGAUCUAUGUCUCUGUGAUGCAGAGAGCUUACCACAGGAGACACCGAUAGGCACAAACACACAGGAUGUCACCCACGGCCUCCCUUUGUACCCCACGCCAACAGAGGAAGAGUUGACCCCCCCUUCAGUGUCAUCCCAUCCCUUGAACACACAGAGUCGCCCGUCUGAACCCUGCUGGUAUUGCCGGAGGUCUCUUGACUCAGAGUAUCGUCCUGAAACUACUGAACAGGAAGACUCGGGUCCUUUGUCACCGGUGCCCUCUAGUGACCAGAAAGUGAGCUACCAGACAGACCCUCGACCUCACUUUGGCGUGGCUUGUUCCUCCCACUCUACUUGUCACCCUCUGUGGGGCAGCGAGGGACCCUGCUGGGGGCCAAGGAGUCAGGACGUGCUCGACCAGACAGACACCUGCCCUCACUGUCAUUUGGGGUUGCCCCCCGACACACUGCGUUGGCAUGAGGCAAAGUGUCUGCAGUUUGAAGGGGUGAGGAUCCCAAAGAAAUAAAAGGAGGCAAAAGCAAAAAUGUCGUUUGGGCAAAAUAACACUGUUCCUUCUUGGUAUUAAGACAAUAAUUCUCACAUAAUGGUUAUUUGCAAUUUCUGCUCUGAAAUAACUGUGUUUACAUCUAAAUUUAACUUAUUUUAUUUUAGUUUAUGUUUAAUUCAUGAUAUAUUUUUAAUGUGUUAUUACAAAUAAAACGCGUAAUAAGUUAAUGUGAAAUUAAGUACUCUUUCUCCCUACACGGACAGCCUAUUUUUUUCAGGAUAAUGAAGUACAUCACAUGCCGAUUAUUACCAAUAUAUACACAUUUAUGUCACUUCCACUGCAGCUCAGAAGACAAUAAGGAAACAGUAAAAAUUGGGAUUGGUUUUUGAUUCCGGAUUCUUUGACCUUUA